GGGGUUGACUUGGUUUCGACUGGAGCAGUCGGGGCCGUGUGCAUGUCGGAGCGGGCUACUCCGUGAUCAAGCCCAAACGCGAAAUAAACGCAAACAACACAGAUUAUCGCCCCGCUUACGCUCACGCAGCGUAAGUCAUAACCCUUUUUAGGGGCCGUCUCACCGGCGACGUCAUCUUAGCCGGGUUCGAGGCGUCGACAACCGAUGACUAUAUCGGCGGCCUGCCUAAGCCGUCGAUGAACCUUUUAGGCUGGUCCUGCGCAGCUCUGGGUGUCGAGCGAGGCAGGAUGAGAUACUAUCGACACCGACUAAGCAUGUAGAGUCACGGUCUUGGCUGUUUCAGGACAGGGGUUCGAUUCCCCUCAACUCCACCA
rnacentral:tmRNA from 1 species